rnacentral:rRNA from 1 species
CCUACGGGUGGCCGCAGUGAGGAAUAUUGGUCAAUGGCCGUAAGGCUGAACCAGCCAAGUAGCGUGAGGGAAGACUGCCCUCUGGUUUGUAAACCUCUUUUAUGCGGGGGUAAAGGUGUCCACGUGUUGAUGUUUGCAGGUACCGCAUGAAUGAGGACCGGCUAGUUCCGUGCCAGCAGCCGCGGUAAUACGGCAGGUCCGGUCGUUAUCCGGAUUUAUUGGGUGUAAAGGGAGCGUAGGUCGGUCUUUAAGCGUGCCGUGAAAUUUUGUGGCUCAACCAUGAGAGUGCUGCGCGAACUGGAGACCUUGAGUACGCGGAAGGCAGGCGGAAUUCGUGGUGUAGCGGUGAAAUGCUUAGAUAUCACGAAGAACCCCGAUGGCGAAGGCAGCCUGCCGCAGCGUUACUGACGCUGAGGCUCGAAAGCGCGGGUAUCGAACAGGAUUAGAUACCCGUGUAGUC